GUCCUGUCCCCAUGCUAUUCCAUACUAUUCUCUAAAUAAAAGAGCACUACUGCCAGACCUUGAGAGUCCAAGAAAUCUUUCUUUCAACUCCUUGACUCACCGAGCCACAUCAGAUACCACUUCCCAACCACUAGGAGGACUGGAAUCAAAAUUUGAGAUAAUAACCAAUCUUGUGGAGGAUCCGUGGAGAAAUUGGAACCCUUAUACGUGGGUGGUAUGACUAUAAAAUGGUGCAGCCACUCUGGAAAACUGUCUAGGAGCUCCUCAAAACUUAAACCUACAAUUACCAUAUGAUCCAUCAAUUCCUCUCCUAGGUAUAUGCCCAAUUAAAAUGAAAACACAUGUUCAGAUAAAAACUUGUACAUGACUUUUUAGGAACAUUAUUCAUAGCCAAAAGGUGACAACAAAUCCAAAUAUCCUCUAAAGGAUGAAUAGAUAAACAAAUGUAUUUUAGCCAUACACUGGAAUUAUUCAGCCUUAAAAAUGAAUUAAGUAUCGAUGCAUGCUACAACAUGGAUAUGCUUUGAAAAAUUGUGCUAAGUGACUGAAGUCAAUCACAAAGACCAUAUAUAAUCCCAUUCAGAUGUAAGACCUGAAUAGGGAAAACUAUGGACAGAAUGGAGAUUAGUGUAGCCCUCACUAGGGCUGAGAUUGGAAGAGGAAGACGGAAAGUGGUAGCUAAAGGGCAGAGGAGUUUCUUUUUGAAGUGAUGAAAUGUUCAUAAUUUGCUGUGAUUAUCGCAUGUAUCUGUGAAUAUACUGAAAACCAGUGAACUGCACCCUUUAACGGGUGCACUGUGCAGUAUAUGCAUUACAUCUCAAUAGAGCUGUUGAAGUAAAUAAAUCAAUAAAGUUCUGCAAUCCAGGCUUUCAGGCAUAUAAGAAUGUCCAGGUUAAUUAACACAUCCAUCACCUGACAUAGUUUCCUCUUCUGUGUGUGUGCGUGUGUGUGUAUGUGUGUGUGUUGAGAAUGUUUGAGCCAUUCUCUUAGUAAUUUCAAUUAUACAACACAGAAUAAGUGUAUCAAAUCAUCCCAUUGUAAUCUUUAAAUACAGACACUUUUAUUAGUCAAUUAUACCUUGUUAAAGCUGGGAGAAGAGUUUCCAGGUGCAUCCCAUAUUUACAUAACAAUAUAGCAAUGAAAAUGGGAAUCAAUUGUCUUAAGGAUGUUAUUCCGUUUACAUUUCAAACUUCUCUAGGUUCACAGGAAAAAAUUGAUCCAAAAUAAAUUUCCUUCCAGUGCAAAACACACACUUGAGAAUUUGGUGACCACAUCUCAUUGCUUGUGGUUGGUGAGAAGAGUUCCUGCACCCCGCUAGGGCUGUGGGGUUCCAACUUCCCAAGAGAGCCCAGGGCCCCGGGAUUCUUUAUCCUAAGAACCAACUGAGUCGGGGUGGGCCUGGGAUGGGUGGAAGGCUGAUCGCUGGCAAGGCGGAAAGAUCAAAAUGGGGCCAGACACUUUAUCCCAGCUGGUGAGGUCACAUUUAAGUGUCUGCUUUUCUAAAUAAAGGUCACAGUUGCAUGAGUGGCCUCGCAGCCUUACGCCAAGCCCCUGACUCCUAGAGGCCGUAAGAGCUUCUUUUCCAGUGUGUCCUCGCCUGGGCCACCCACCUGUCUGUACUUGCUCCUUCUUGAAAUUGAAUCAGGGAUUCCCUGUGCACACCUGUAACAACUUAUUUUGCACAGCCUUCCAGAAGAACAGAGUCAGCCCCAAGCCAGGAAAAAGUUCUGUUUAAACGUAAAUGACCCAGAAAGGACAGAUUGCAGCCUACCAAGGGGAAGUGCUUCCCUUGAGGCAAGCGUCUUCCCUCCUUGAUGUCACUCAGCGGCGAGGGGGCGGGGGCCUGCGAACUGUCCAAUCGGGGGUAUCGCUGGGGCCGUGGGUGGAGCUACGCAACGCACCGGCAUUCAUGUCCCCGUUUCUUCCGGCUUCUCUCAGGAUCGCGUGUCCCCUUCUUCAGCGGUUCAUGGUGGUUUUGCCGCAGCCUCUGUCGCGCCGUGACCUGCACUGACCGCAGGGGUCAUAGGACAAUUUCCAGCUCUAGGUCGGCUCAGAAAUGUAAUCUCCAUCCCGCUGUCACUCAGAACUGAGGGGCCUUUUGAACUGUCCAAUCAGGGUUGGCUCCGGGGCACGUGGGCGGGGCUACGCUCCGCACCGCCCCCCCACCGCCGGCUUCCUGUCGCUCCACUCUCUUUCCGGUAACGGGUCACGUGCUCUUAAGGGCCUGACGUUGCUCCGCAGCUGGCUCUGUAGGUCUGUGACGUGCGCUGGCCGUGGGGGUCAUAAGAAAGACUGAGGGAACCCGGGAGCCCUAGAAAUGGUGCACAUGAAGGAUUGCUGUGCCUUCUUGGACAGUGGAACCCUUUAGCUGUAUCCAGUGCCCCUCUGUGCCGCUGAAUUUUCCUUGGUUUGAUAUCUGCAUUGUCUCUAGUUCAUAUAGCUAUGGUGGCUUUCUUCUGAUUAGUGUUGCCAUGGUAUAUACUUCUCCAUGCUUUUACCCUUCAUCUCUGUGUGUCUUUAUCAUUAAACUGGGCUUCUUGUAGACAAAA